rnacentral:rRNA from 1 species
CCCUUAGAUGUCCUGGGCCGCACGCGUGCUACACUGACACUUACACCGAGUUUUUCCAAUGCCGAAAGGCCAUUGGUAAUCAGCAAUAAGUGUCGUGAUGGGGAUAGAUCUUUGGAAUUAUUGAUCUUGAACGAGGAAUGCCUAGUAAGCGCAAGUCAUCAGCUUGCGUUGAUUACGUCCCUGCCCUUUGUACACACCGCCCGUCGCUCCUACCGAUUGAAUGGUCCGGUGAAGCGUUCGGACCGUGGCCUUUGGACGGUUCGCCGUCUGUUGGCUGCGGGAAGUUCGUUAAACCUUAUCAUUUAGAGGAAGGAGAAGUCGUAACA